GCGGGCGAGGUGUUAACGGCUGCACGUGAGCCUUCCAAGCUCAAAGAACGGGUUCGACCCCCGUCGCCCGCU
rnacentral:tRNA from 1 species